rnacentral:lncRNA from 10 species
UUGCUCUUUUUUUUUGAAGGGUUCAGCUUACAAGAUCCUCCUCAAUUAAAGUGUUGAUGUCUUGUUUGAAACACAGCUUCCGGCAGGGUCUGCUGUGUGCACGGAGCACCCGUCAGCCUGGAGCAGACCUGAGACGCUGGCACAAGAACUGUCAUCUGGAGAAGCGUCACCUCCUGUCCGGCUGAGGUUCCACGGGGCUUCUGCCAGAGACCUGAAUAAAUGUUAUAGAACAGCCCAAUCUCACUGUCCUCCUUUGUCUUCCAGAAGCCCUUGCCCUGUCCUGAGCUUACUGACAUGGCCAAAAGACUGAAAAUGCUAACAAGACAGGGAGCCCCCCAUCUGCAAAUCCUGUUCUUACCCAUCAAGCUAAGCCAGCACCUGUACUUGUUCCAGGUUGAGCCCAACAGCAGCCUCAUAUCCUAAGGCACAGCUCGCUGAGUUCUGAGCCCUCCCAAGGGAAGGUCUUAACCCUAGCUCAUCCAUUUCCAAAGCUGAGGCCAUGAGCCAAGUGUCCCAGGAUGCUCUCCACUCUGCCCACAGAGCGAGGUCGCUGGUCUCUGAAGCAAGUCCCAGGUUUCCCACACUUCCCCCAUGAGAAGAAUUCUGGGGUGCUUGUUAAACAUCCAGCUCCCCAGGUAUGUACCCUGAAGAUUCUGUUUGAGUUGGUCUUGAGUAGGACACAGGAACCGGUGUGUUUAAUAGGCACCCAGGGGAUAACAAUCAAAUGUGACUCAAAGCCAGCGCGGUAACCUUGGCUCAGAAACAAGCAAAUCUGGCCAGGCGCAGUAGCUCACACCUGUAAUCCCAGCACUUUGGGGGACUGAGGUGGGCGGAUUACUUGAGGUCAGGAGUUCG